GACGAACGCUGGCGGCGUGCUUAACACAUGCAAGUCGAACGGAAAGGCCCUGCUUUUGUGGGGUGCUCGAGUGGCGAACGGGUGAGUAACACGUGAGUAACCUGCCCUUGACUUUGGGAUAACUUCAGGAAACUGGGGCUAAUACCGGAUAGGAGCUCCUGCUGCAUGGUGGGGGUUGGAAAGUUUCGGCGGUUGGGAAUGGACUCGCGGCUUAUCAGCUUGUUGGUGGGGUAGUGGCUUACCAAGGCUUUGACGGGUAGCCGGCCUGAGAGGGUGACCGGCCACAGUGGGACUGAGAGACGACCCAGACUCCUACGGGAGGCAGCGGUGGGGAAUAUUGCACAAUGGGCGGAAGCCGGAUGCAGCAACGCCGCGUGCGGGAGGACGGCCUUCGGGUUGUAAACCGCUUUCGCCUGUGACGAAGCGUGAGUGACGGUAAUGGGUAAAGAAGCACCGGCUAACUACGU
rnacentral:rRNA from 1 species